UACGUAGGGGGCAAGCGUUGUCCGGAAUCAUUGGGCGUAAAGCGUGCGCAGGCGGUCCGCAAAGUCUGAUGUGAAAGCCCCGGGCUCAACCUGGGAACUGCAUUGGAAACUAACGGGCUCGAGUGUGGCAGAGGGGGGUGGAAUUCCACGUGUAGCAGUGAAAUGCGUAGAGAUGUGGAGGAACACCGAUGGCGAAGGCAGCCCCCUGGGCUAACACUGACGCUCAGGCACGAAAGCGUGGGGAGCAAACAGG
rnacentral:rRNA from 1 species